rnacentral:rRNA from 1 species
UACGGAGGGGGCAAGCGUUGUUCGGAAUCAUUGGGCGUAAAGGGCGUGUAGGCGGCCGGGUAAGUCGGAUGUGAAAUCCCUCAGCUCAACUGAGGAAUUGCAUUCGAUACUGCCUGGCUAGAGUCCGGGAUGGGGUAGCGGAAUUCCCAGUGUAGCGGUGAAAUGCGUAGAUAUUGGGAAGAACACCGGUAGCGAAGGCGGCUACCUGGACCGGAACUGACGCUGAGGCGCGAAAGCCAGGGGAGCGAAUGGG